AAGUCAGUAAACUUAAGGGCCAAUCACAUAGUUACAGAUUUUUCAAUUACAAGAAAAGUUACAGAUUUUUCAAUUACAAGAAACGAAUUAAUCCAAUCCCUGUAAUGAAUGUUAAAUUAUCUAGUACACCAAGAAGGCUUUACAUGUAACUAAAUAAGAAGAUGAGAAAGAAGUAGGGAACAACAGCCAACAAGGAACCAACGGUGAGGGAUGGAGCUGCAGAGGGAAGCAGUGGCGGCGGUGAUAUUCCAUUUCCAACUUUGAUUGCCACCUUCAUACCUUGUUCGCAGUGGUUUCCAACAGAGCACACGAAAUAGCGAGUCCCAUUUGCACUAAGAGGGACAAUGACUCCUCCUCUUGUUACGAUCACUAUUCCUGUCUUUGUGCAGUUAUUAUAUUCAUCUUCAUUGUCUACUUCAGUUACAGUAUGUGUCCCAGUCCAGUUGAACACGAGGUAGUCUCCUAACAGAAAUGUCUUGUUGUUAGCCCAGUCGCCAUAGUACCCAAGUGAAUUGUUGGGAGGGAGUGUCCAUCCCAAACUGUCUCCAACUGUGUACUUCAUAGCUGCAUUUGCGCCCUGAAAUAAUAAUUUUGCCACUGUAAACAUCAAUAUCACAACCGAGCUUUGACGGCCAGCCAUUAUGACUGAUCGGUCUUGAGGAGGUCGCCCCCUCAGUCAAUGUUUCUUUCUCUUCAAAGGUGCUUUGCUUUGGCAAGGAACAGCCCAGCUUUCAAGUUAAAACCGUGACUUGGAGAAGUGGAAAAGAAU
rnacentral:misc_RNA from 1 species